GCAAAGACUUUGGUGUGGUAGAGCAUGAGACUCUUGAUCUCGGGGUCGUGGGUUCGAGCCCGACGUUGGGCA